rnacentral:rRNA from 1 species
CCCUUAGAUGUUCUGGGCCGCACGCGCGCUACACUGAUGCAUUCAACGAGCCUAUCCUUGACCGACAGGUCCGGGUAAUCUUUGAAUCUGCAUCGUGACGGGGAUAGAUUAUUGCAAUUAUUAAUCUUCAACGAGGAAUGCCUAGUAGGCGCAAGUCAUCAGCUUGCGUCGAUUACGUCCCUGCCCUUUGUACACACCGCCCGUCGCUCCUACCGAUUGGGUGUGCUGGUGAAAUGUUCGGAUCGGCUGUUUGUCGCGGUUUCCGCGUCAUGUGGCUGAGAAGUUCAUUAAACCCUCCCACCUAGAGGAAGGAGAAGUCGUAACA